UUUACACAAAUUUUCCGAGCUUAAUUUUCUAAAGCUUUAUGCCAUGAAAAAUAAGCCGCUGGGUAUAAGGAGAAAUCCCUAUACCUCCCGUGUUUGGAAAGGAAGAUUAUAAAACCAUAA
rnacentral:ncRNA from 2 species